rnacentral:lncRNA from 1 species
UGUAUUGCAUGAUGUUAUAUGUAUAUAUAUCUGUUGGACUAACAUGUUGCAGUGCCUCCUUUGGACCUGGUGGGUUGAGCUUUUCACUUGGGUGGCUGUACCCACUGACGACUAUGGACAAUAGUCUCACCCCCGUGUUGUUGUUUUUGGGGGUACAGGUUCACACGCGAGCGGCGCGGCGGCGCGAGGAAAGGGCGUAGCUCCGUAGUUAGCGCCCUACCACAGAGACCAGAUAGCAGCACCCUGAGUCGGCUUCUUAGGGGUAUAAGAAAAGAAAAGAAAAGAAUUGAUGUUGUAAUAUUAUGUUUAGAAAUCGAUUGUAUAUUUGGAAGUUGAGAAUCAAUGUAAUGAAAAAUGCGAUGUAAAAUGAUGAGAUGAAUGAUUGUAAUAACAUAGGAUGUGUUAUGUUGUUUGAUACCUUCCUUAUGCAAUCGUUGUUGAAAAAUUGUUCCUGUUUGGAACCUCUUGUACUUGGAUUGAUUGCGACGCCUUGAACGUACAGGGGAGACUCUGUCCGCGUGUAGGGAAAACCCUGUCCGUUCGGCGGUCUGUUGGCGUGCCCGAAUCCGACCAAAGAGGCGGGCUCGGGGCGUGACAGAUAAGAUGGUAUCAGAGCAUAAAGUAGAGAAUGGGAAAGUGGUUUAGAUGAACCUAGGAGACCCUAGGAUAGUAAACCAUAGGAGAUUAAGGCUCGUGAGAGACGAGGACUUGUGGCUUUGGCGAAAGGUUAAGGGAUUGGGUUGUGUUGUAAACCUCUAAAAAGGAGAUUAGAGGUGGAUUCAAGGUGUGGUCUACUCUCAACCGAGGGUGUUCAUGUUGGACGCGUACAACAUGAAACCGAGUGAUGAGAAUAGAUGACCUUGUAUGACUUUCGCCUGAUUUGAGUUGAUGUCAGUUGUCUCGUACUCGACCUAGAAGGUUGAGAGUUAGUUGAGUUGUUAUGUUCUAGGUAACGAUGGCACUGCGUAGGCGAUCUUCGUUUAGAUCGACGCGGGGUGGGACAAGUGAUGUCCCAGAGCAAUCCAAGGCGAGCGGAGAUUUGGAACUUCGCGAACAGUUGGCCACACUUGUGGGUGUGGUGAGGCAACGAGCAGAUGUGGUGCAGCGGCAGCAGGAGGCUGUUAUGCACCAGGAGGAGCGAAUUAAGAGACUCCUGAAAAGUUGUAGGUGUAAUAUACCGAAACUUCGGUAAGCGAACAUCGAACCUUGGUCAAAUUAACCAAAGAGCGAGGUUGGUACACUUCGGAAAGGCCGAAGGCAUCAAAUAAUGCAAAAGUGCGUUACUGGGGAUCUUCGAGAGCUUUGGGAAUCAAAAUCUGCAAAUUGCAGGUUUUCUGCUCUCGGGGACCGGUCUCUGGUGGGAGAGACCGGUCCCCGCACGCGCAGACAGCGAAAGGGAGGAAAAAAAAAAAAAGGCUAAGUCCCCGGUGGACAGCUCUCGGGAACCGGUCCCUGCAGGGAGAGACCGGUCCCGAAGAGACCGGUCCCAUCGGGGGAGACCGGAUGCAUCGUGCGUGAGCCCUGCUGACCGCGGGGAGAGCUCUCGGAGACCGGUCCCUCGUCGGGGAGACCGGUCCCCGAACCUGAGAGUGGCCCAGUCAGGGCAGUGUAAAAGAGUAAAAGUUGAGAGGCUUGUUUGCACUUAUGCAACAUGUGGGGCUAUGUGAGGAGUAUGAGAGCUCUUUUCUCUCAUUUCUCAUCCACACACCCUCUCAUAUCUCUCUUUCUCUCUCUCUAGAAGACAAGAAGAGGAAGAAGAAAGGAAGGAAAAAGAAAGAGAAAGAGCGGGCUUUGGCAGCCCUCAUGACCUUCAUAAAGUUUGAUCCACCUACCUUCGAUGGAGAGAAUGUCGAUUCGUGGAUUGUGGAUACGUGGAUUGACUCCGUGGAAACGCUCUUCGAGGAGCUGUCUACCUUGGAGCGGGACAAGGUACCCCUAGCCGUGUAUUGUUUGAAACAGUCGGCUAAGGCGUGGUGGAAAGGCAUUCGACGGAACCGAUCGCCUAGUAUUCCUCCAUGGCAUGGGAUGAGUUUUGGGGAUUGGUAUCUUCUACUUACUUCCCCCGACAGUGAAAAGAGAAAGCUUCAGGACAAGUUCAGGAAGCUGCGGCAAGGAGACCGCUCAGUUAGAGAAUACGAACGGGAAUUCUCCCUAUCAUGAACUGUAUCCGAGAUAUGGAGCCUGCUGCUGACGACGUCAUGGCGGGUAUGAGCUGUUAAUGCAGUUAUGUGUUUCUGCAUAAUGUAGAGUUGGUGCAUUGCAUGCAUUGAGCAUGUAAUUAAUUACUACUAUUUAUGUAGUAGCAUAGUAGGGUCCAAGUGAGCGGGUAAAUGUAAACACCCGGGCACGCUUAUGUGGUGAAAGCGUUGCACCUGCCGGUGCAGGUAGAGAACUGGAUGGUACUAGCGAGUUGCUAGUGGUGGUCUAAUGAUGAGACUUGUAGUAGAGGUGGAAAUGACGAACCAACUCGCAGAGCAAUCUAUGUAAUUGAUUGCGAGAGUUGUGUCAUGACACUUGUGGACACUCGAAUGGUUUGAGUGUUCUAGAUGUUGCUCCGGUAGAGCGAUUGGCUGCCAAAUACGGGCGCGUUGGCCUAGUAGUACCUCGAAUUGAGGUGGGUGAGUCGUGCUCGUGUGGCCGGUGUGCAUAGGCAAGAGUUGCCUAAUGCUGGACAUAGUGUGGAGCGCUUUAGAGGCGUGCGAUACACGAGUAUAGUUACUCGUGGAGUGCGGAUUUAGUUCAGCCGGAUGAGUGUGUUGGCAGUAGCACCUGAGCAUUGCUAGGUGUGAAGCGUGCCACGGAUCACUCGUGGGGCUGGUGGCUCGCACUAGGUGCAUAGGAGCCGAUAGUGGUACGUAUUGUGCUAUAGAGCGUGUAGUGCGAUUGAUAGUAUACUGAGAGUGCGAGUGUGACCCAACCCGGGAAUCUGUAACGGUUUGGGAUCUUAGUUGCUCCUGGUUGGAGUGUGUGCGAAUUCCCAAGUGAGAAUUUCGCCCCAAUGAUGAUUGGGUCUGCAUUGCGAGCGAGAGACGCUGCGUAUUGAGAAAGGUUUAGGUGGUAGGCCUACAUAGUAUUGGUGGCCUUUGGACCACCAGUGGAAACCGAGGAAAGCGAUUUGGCGGAUAGACUUAUCGAGAGGUUUGACUCGAAUUCACGAACAAAGUGUUCUUGUGAGCUCUUUGCAGAAAUGGUUUGACGUUGACCAUGGCAUAUGGUAUUGAAAAAUGAAGUGCUCUUGGAGAGACCUUGAGCUUAUGGCAAGCCACGUGGAAUUUGAGAACUGGAAGUGGGGAUGUGCCGAAGUGGGCCAUCUCACUUAGAGCAAAAAGUCGGGGCGGAAUUAGAGCACUCGCGGUGAAGCGAUGCACUAGUGAUGUUGCUUUUAAGCAAUGUUGGAGAUAGAAUCGGAGUGUAUUCCCUGAGGGGAAAGUAAAUGCGAAGAAGAGUUCUUGUAUGCCAAAUGACAAGUGGUAUUGGACCGCGUGAAGUCGUUGAGUUUCGACUUGCGCCGCCACCAAGAGUGAUGGAUACCCUAAUGCACUUUGUGAGAUGCGCCUUGCAAAUUUGGAUGCAUUUAGUAUCAUGAACUCCGUGGUAGUCCUCUUGGAUAGUUCCAAGGAGUGUGAAGCCAUUCCGAAGUGGAAAGCGUAUUGGUGCUCUCAAUUACUCGAGGAGCUGAAUCGAGUUGUGGUUUGAAUUUCGCGGACGAAAUUCUUUUAAGGGGUGGAGAAUGUAAUAUACCGAACUUCUAAAUUCACGAAGUUACGAUGUAAGUUAGCUUAGAAAGCCAUUGGAAUCGUCCCGGCGAAGUUCGGGAGCAUUCGGGUGCUUCGGUGCGCAUAGGGCGCGAAAACGGAGCCGAAAGGCUAUGUUGGACCGUGAGUUAAAUCCGGCAUUAGCGUGGAUGAAAAGAUGAUGAAAACAUGUUCGAAAACAUAUUUGGAGAGUCUCGGUUCGAUUUGAAAUGAAUCAGAGGUCAAACGAGCGAAAACGAGCGAAAACGGAGCUAAAAUGGUGAAAAAGCUGAAAAUUUGGCUAAGUCCUUGAAGGCUGAUUUCUGGACCUUCGGGGACCGGUCUCUCAGUCAAGGACCGGUCUCUCAGGGACCGGUCUCUCAUCGCAAGGACCGGUCCCCGAAGCCCGAAAAUGCCCAGUUCGGGCUGUUGUGAGAAAUGCAUUGUUGAGGGUGUUUUCAGCAAUUUUGCACUAAUAGAGGCUAUUAGAUGGUGGAAUGAGAUCUUUCUCUCAUUUCUCUCACUCUCCCACACCAAAACCUCUCCCUCUCUCUCUCUAGAAAGAAAAGAAGGAGAAGAAGAGGGGAAAGAAAGGGAAGAAGAAGAUGAAGGAGAAGAGGCCAAGAAGAUAGAGUUUCAUCUUCAUCUCCUUCCUUGAGCCAUAGGAGCAAGCUUAGAGAGGUAAGCCUUAUGCUCUCUAAUGGUAGACUUCUAGAACUUGGUUUAUAUGUUCUAGAAUUGGAUUUUAUGUACUCCUAGCAUGUCAAAUAGAUGAUAAAUGCUUGGAUCAUGAGAUGAAAUGGUAGAUUUUGCAAUAGUUGCAUAUUAGGGCUCCAAAAAGGGGGUUUUUGUAGAUAGUUGAGUUUGAUCUCAAUUGACCCUCUAUAAACCUAAUUGGGGGUAUAACGAACGCGUUGGUGCGCUCGGUUCGACAAUCCGACGAGUGUACGCAAAGUUAUUGACGAAACAAUCUGUUUUGGUACAGAUAACUGCAGCACGCGGGAUAAGCCUCCAAAAAUCAUGAGAAUGGAUCGGGAGCAUCGUGGUGUCGGGGAAUAAACUCCCGAACAGACGGAUCGCGAAUUGGUGGCCGUUCGGGUGGUCGCACAAGAGUUCGGGCCAGACCGGGUUACGGAUGCCGCGGGAGGCCGAUUGCAAGUGUCGACAAGCAAUCGGAAAGCGUUUUGAGGUGGGUUGUGCUCACCGAAGCGAUUAGGUCGCUUUCCAUGCCAAAGUGUAGUAUGUUUACUAUUGAUGCAUGAUAAAGUAUGCUAUUUGAGAAUGCAUGAUAAAGUAUGCUAUUUAAGAAUGCAUGAUAAAGAUAGAUGCCAAAUGAAUGCAUGAGUUGAUGUUAAUUUACAUGUGCAUAUUAUAGAAAUGCUAAAUAGAUGUCAAAUGAAAGUAUGAGAUUUAUACUAACCGAGAAUGCAUGUAGUAAAUGUUAACGAAUGCAUAAAAUGCUAAGUAAUGACUACCAAUGGAUGACAAAAUAUAUGCAUGUUGAACAUAGAUCGAGUGGCAUUUGGAAAUGGUAAAGUGGACACUAGAGUUAGUGUGGGACAUCAAAGAAUAAAUGUGAUGUAAAGAAUAAUGAUAAUGGCUAAAGAUAAUGUAAAACAAUGUGAUGAUAAUAAUGUAAUGUUGCAUGAUGUGAGUACACGUGCUUAUUAGAAUGACUAAGAAUCUAAAUAAUCUAUAUGUAUGCAUGAGAUGUAAUGUGAGAACCUAAUGAUAAUGGCUUGAGACAAGGCAAAGCAAUGUGAUGUAAAGAAUAAUGAUAAUGGCUAGAGGCGAUGUAAAGUAAUGUGGCAUAAAGAACAAGCAAAGUGUAAAGAACAAUGAUAAUGGCUAGAGUUAGCAACCAAUGUGACAUAAAGAACACUAGAGUUAGUGUGUGGCAAUAAAAGAACAAGUGUGAUAUCAAGAAUGACAAUUACUAAAGUAAUUGAUAAUUGUGGUAUAAAGAAUAAUGAUUGCUAGAGUUAGCAACUAAUGUGAUGUAAAGAACACUAGAGUUAGUGUAAAACCAUGAUCCAACUACAUAUCCUUAGAGUUAAGGAUUGAUCAUACUUGCUAUGAGUUCCGUGCUCGAGGGCGGUCGCUCCCCCUCGGGCGAUGCGCUCCGGAGUUUGGCAUCCGGGUUGGAGUAGACCCGUAAGGACGGUCCUAGCUGGUGAGUUCCUGUGAUGAUGGACUUAAUGUGAAGCAAGUUAAUGUGGCGAAACCCCCGGGUUAGCCGUGAGAUUAAAGAACAAAGAACAAAAAAGGAAUCAUGAAUUGGAAAGUGGAUCUUAUAUUCAUUAUAAAUUGACUCAAGACCGAGUCGAGUGGCAUAGUUGGCCAGGGUAAAGGUAACCCUGUGAAAGAAUGACAAUUGAGAAAGAAUGACAAUUGAGAAACGUUUGUUAAUGUUAUAAAGAAUGGCAAAUGUGUAUAAUGCGCCUAAGGUGCGAGUGCCCUUAGCAAAGAAUAAAGAAUAAAGAAUAAAGAAUAAAGAAUAGAGAAUGGCUAAUGAUAAAGAAUUGCAUAUUCUAAAGAAAGGCUAAUGGUAAAGAAUGACUAAGAGUUGCAUAAUUUGCAUAUUUGUGAGGCAUGAACAUGUAUUGCAUGAUGUUAUAUGUAUAUAUCUGUUGGACUAACAUGUUGCUGUGCCUCCUUUGGACCUGGUGGGUUGAGCUCUUCCCUUGGGUGGCUGUACCCACUGACGACUAUGGACAAUAGUCUCACCCCCGUGUUGUUGUUUUUGGGGGUACAGGUUCACACGCGAGCGGCGCGGCGGCGCGAGGAAAGGGCGUAGCUCCGUAGUUAGCGCCCUACCACAGAGACCAGAUAGCAGCACCCUGAGUCGGCUUCUUAGGGGUAUAAGAAAAGAAAAGAAAAGAAUCGAUGUUGUAAUAUUAUGUUUGGAAAUCGAUUGUAUAUUUUGAAGUUGAUGAUCAAUGUAAUGAAAAAUGCGAUGUAAAAUGAUGAGAUGAAUGAUUGUAAUAACAUAGGAUGUGUUAUGUUGUUUGAUACCUUCCUUAUGCAAUCGUUGUUGAAAAAUUGUUCCUGUUUGGAACCUCUUGUACUUGGAUUGAUUGCGACGCCUUGAACGUACAGGGGAGACUCUGUCCGCGUGCAGGGAAAACCCUGU